ACCCUCAACACCAUACCUGCUUGAUUGCACCCGAGUUCGUAAGUUAAGUCAGGUCAGGCCUGGUUGGAGAUUGGAUAGGGGACCACCUGCGGAGACUGGGGACUGGACGGUU
rnacentral:rRNA from 1 species